rnacentral:rRNA from 1 species
AGGGCACCACCAGGAGUGGAGCCUGCGGCUUAAUUUGACUCAACACGGGAAAACUCACCCGGCCCGGACACUGGAAGGAUUGACAGAUUGAGAGCUCUUUCUUGAUUCAGUGGGUGGUGGUGCAUGGCCGUUCUUGGUUGGUGGAGCGAUUUGUCUGGUUAAUUCCGAUAACGAACGAGACUCUAGCCUACUAAAUAGAUCGUUGUUUUACAAACAACAGCGAGACUUCUUAGAGGGACAGGCGGUGAUUCAACCGCACGAAACAGAGCAAUAACAGGUCUGUGAUGCCCUUAGAUGUCCGGGGCCGCACGCGCGCUACACUGAAGUGAUCAGCGUGCUCUUUUAACCUAGUCUGUCAAGACCAGGAAACCCAAUGAGCCUUCUUCGUGAUUGGGAUAGGAGAUUGUAAUUAUUCUCCUUGAACGAGGAAUUCCCAGUAAGCGCGAGUCAUAAGCUCGCGUUGAUUACGUCCCUGCCCUUUGUACACACCGCCCGUCGCUACUACCGAUUGAAUGUUUU